rnacentral:lncRNA from 1 species
UUCAUUCUGAACAUGUCACCGGGGACUUUGGAAUGUGUAUCCAUAACUCCCUGAUUUUCAACCACAUUCCAGCCUGCCUGACUCAUGAAGCGUGGAGCGACCCAGGAACAUCCCAGCUCCUCAUGUCCCACAUUCUUCAGGCUUUCUCUUAGUUUUGGCAUGUGCAUGUAAAUGUCAACAGGCAUGGUGGCUCACACGUGUAAUUCUAGCACUUUGGGAGGCCGAGGCAGGUGGAGCACCUGAGGUCAGGAGUUCAAGACCAGCCUGGUCAACAUGGCGAAACCCCGUCUCUACUAAAAAUACGAAAUUAGCCAGGCGUGGUGGCGGACGCCUGUAAUCCCAGCUAUAAUCCCAGCUACUCAGGAGGCUGAAGCAGGAGAAUCGCUUGAACCUGGGAGGCAGAGCUUGCAGUGAGCCGAGAUCACGCCACUACACUGCAGCCUGGGUGACAGAGUGAGACUCCAUCUCAAAAAACAACAACAAAAUAAAUAAAUAAAUAAAAAUAAAAUGUCUUGUUCUCUUUUUUCCUCCAGUGCCCAGAUCAG